CUUAUUAUCUUAAGUCCAUCUUUGUUUCCAAUCACACUACAGCCACGGUUUCGCCUAGAGCUUUUGUUUAUCUUCCUCAAUGUUAAUACAAGCAGACUCCCAAGAAGAUUUUGACAACCAGUGAAGACCCAGCCACCUGCUAUUCAUAUUUUAAAGGGUAAAUCUCAAUUUCCAAUCUCUUCAGCGUAUAGGAUGAUAUUGUGUAGUACCACGUUUUGGAGGCAACUUCCUCAGGAUGAAAAGCACCAACGAAGAAGGUUUUUUCUUGUCAGCUGAAAAAAGGAAGCAUGGGCUACAUGGUGUGUCAAGAAAAGCAACCUACUGAAAAGAGGCUUCUGAAUUUCAGUAUUGGGAAGGGAAGAAAACAUGUAAAUGAUCAAGGAUCGGAUACACAACUCCUUCAGGGAAAUGAAGCAACUAGCUGCAUGGAAGUUUUUUAGCCUUGGCAUAAUGCUCAAGCACCUGAUUCUUUAGAAUCCCAUCUGAAAUUGCAUAAUCCAUCAAAGGGAACGGUCAUUCAAUGUAGGGUAGAGAAGUAUGUCAUUUGACAGAAAGUACGUCAUUUGAUUUCAUUAUUAAUAGAUUUUUUCCAGCACUUAUUUGACACAAAGUAUGUCAUUUGAUUUUAAAAGUAUAUUUGUAGUUGAUAAAAAAUAUUUUGUAAGAAGUUUGACUGUUCAAUUAUCAAUUAUAAAAGGAUAAUCAGCCAAUACCCUUUUACCUCUAUUUUCCCUUUUUUAACUAUAAAUAGCCAUGUUGUUUAUGUAUAAGUUAAUAUUGACACAAAAUUACCUAUGAACCCAAAUACUAUUCUUGCCCUUGCCUAUAAACUUAAGCUUUUAAGUAUCCAUUCAGUUGGACUUAUCUACCAAUUAAAACAGCUCUUUUUUGUGUGAAAAAGCAAUGUUCAAGGUUUGUGUUGUUAGUUACCACUCAAAAAGAGCACAUAGGUAAGUUAAGUACUCUGUUUUAUACCUACAAGUAGAAGCUCAAAAUUCUUACUUAGAUUUUAAAAUGUCAAAAGUAACCCCAUAUUAUUUUAAUCAUUUCCUUUAUCAUUCCCAAUAUAUCAAAACUCUUUUUGGUAACUUAAACUAGAUAACUCUUUUACAUUAAUCUAACCAAACAACUAACUUUUUCAUAUAAGCUCUAUUUGGAGUAGAUUCACUUCAAUAAGCUCUACUUUAAAAGUGCAACUUGAACAUGCUUGACCAAAUCCAAAAUAUCACCUAACAUAAUAUUAGAGCAAGGUUAAUCAAUAAGUCUUAUAUUUAAAACCUAAACUAUUAAUAAUAAGUAAAUAGCUUGUUAGGGUCAUAGUUGACUAAAGGUUAUGAUGAAUUAUGUGCUAAACACAAAUAAGAGAAUGUGCUGAUCCCUUACUUUAUAAGCUUAAGCAUUUGAUCAAGUUAUUACUUAGCAAUUAGUAUCCAUCAUAUUUUAACUGCUGUAGGAAUGCAUCCUUUCCUAUUUGAACACAUGAAGAACCAUUCUAUUUAUUGCUAUUUGCAUCUUGUUUGCAUAGGUGGACUUAUUAAAAUAUGAGUGACUGGAAGGUAAUUUGUGCACUAGAAGCAUGGAGCAAUAAACAGGACACGAAUUUUUUUUACA